UAGUCUGGAGUCACGAGUAGUUAC
rnacentral:misc_RNA from 1 species